rnacentral:rRNA from 1 species
GUGGGGAAUUUUGGACAAUGGGCGCAAGCCUGAUCCAGCAAUGCCGCGUGCAGGAAGAAGGCCUUCGGGUUGUAAACUGCCUUUGUACGGAACGAAACGGUCCUGGCUAAUAUCCGGGGCUAAUGACGGUACCGUAAGAAUAAGCACCGGCUAACUACGUGCCAGCAGCCGCGGUAAUACGUAGGGUGCGAGCGUUAAUCGGAAUUACUGGGCGUAAAGCGUGCGCAGGCGGUGCUGUAAGACAGGCGUGAAAUCCCCGGGCUCAACCUGGGAAUUGCGCUUGUGACUGCAGUGCUGGAGUGCGGCAGAGGGGGAUGGAAUUCCGCGUGUAGCAGUGAAAUGCGUAGAUAUGCGGAGGAACACCGAUGGCGAAGGCAAUCCCCUGGGCCUGCACUGACGCUCAUGCACGAAAGCGUGGGGAGCAAACAGGAUUAGAAACCCUUGUAGUCC